AACGAACGCUGGCGGCAUGCCUAACACAUGCAAGUCGAACGAGACCUUCGGGUCUAGUGGCGCACGGGUGCGUAACGCGUGGGAACCUGCCCUUAGGUUCGGAAUAACUCCCCGAAAGGGGUGCUAAUACCGGAUAAUGUCUUCGGACCAAAGAUUUAUCGCCUUUGGAUGGGCCCGCGUUGGAUUCGCUAGUUGGGAGGGUAAAAGCCUACCAAGGCGACGAUCCAUAGCUGGUCUGAGAGGAUGAUCCGCCACACUGGGACUGAGACACGGCCCAGACUCCUACGGGAGGCAGCAGUGGGGAAUAUUGGACAAUGGGCGAAAGCCUGAUCCAGCAAUGCCGCGUGAGUGAUGAAGGCCUUAGGGUUGUAAAGCUCUUUUACCCGGGAUGAUAAUGACAGUACCGGGAGAAUAAGCUCCGGCUAACUCCGUG
rnacentral:rRNA from 1 species